rnacentral:tRNA from 1 species
UGGGGCGUAGUCAAGUGGUAAGGCAACGGGUUUUGGUCCCGCUAUUCGGAGGUUCGAGUCCUUCCGUCCCAG